CUCAUUCAUCAUUUUAUGUGCGCACCUGUCCUAAUCAACCCACCCAUUAAAUAGACAGGCACAAUAGCACCAUCUGCUGGCACAAAAAAUACAUAACAAUAAACUGCAAAACCCCAAUCUGGCUCCUACAAAGUGUAUGUGACAAGAUGAUUAACGUUUGCUUUUGUUAAAUCAGGGCUUCCCCAGCCAGGACUUCGGCUCAGACUGUGGCAUAUUCAUGUUGAUGGUAGGUCAUAACGAGCUGUAAUGCACAAAUAUUGUAUCUAGAAUAACUUUCCAACAUGGACUUUUUUAAAGUUAUCUCACAUGUUGUCUCAUAAUUUUUUUUUAAGUUUGCCAUGUACAUCGUUAUGGAGUCACAGUUUGACUACUCAGUUGUAAGUACUUUUCAACACGCAGUGUCAUCCUCAAGAUUGUAUUUUGUAUUGUGCACUAAAAUGAAAUACAAACAACAAUUUCAGCAUGACAUGCCUGUUUUGCGGCGAUGGUGGUGCCUGUUGCUCCUGGAGAACAAUUCUUUGAACAGGUAGACAGUUUAAGUAAACUAGAUGCCCUAAUUAACUGGAAGACAAUCAAUAUAUUGUACUUAAAGAUAUAUUGUCAUUACAGUUGUGGGAAAAUCUUCGCCCACUGGACCAAAGAAUGUCAAGAGCUCAUUGCUGGAAAACAUACUCCGGUCUUCAGUCUAAAGAGGAAGGCAGAGCAGCAGGACACAGAGG